CAAAUUAAUCUGUCUACGCCCCGGGACCGGCGGAGGCCCUCCCGGUAGCGUGCCCAGACCCGCCAUAUGUCUACACAUAUAAGGCGUCUAGAAUAAAAGCGGAAGUAAAAGCAAGUAAUAGAACAAAUAGAAAAAGUGAAAUAACUAGCAACUAAUGAUAUCAGAGCGAGUAAAGUUCUAACAUUUACACCAAAGUAAAGCUAGACAAUAAAAGAAAUCAUAAGUAGUACAAUAUCUAUCUCUAAUACAAAAAUGGUGGUCUCUAGUACACUGGAAAAAUCCUCAACCUCCCGGUAAGACAAGUAAAUAUCGAGAGGUAGACCACCUAACAACUCGUCCUCGAAGGAAGCUAGCUCGGAGCAACUCCCUUCCCGCGAUCCCUGGCCUCACCCUGCGUGGAAGGCUCUGAAAAACAUCGAGAAAAAGAGGGCGUUAGAACUAUAAUUUAUAGUUCCCAGUGGGCAAUUACUGACCUCAGCUCAAUGCAUCACUAGGCCCCAAAAGAAAAGGGUAAGUAACGACAUAUAGUAAAAUGCAAUAAAUAGCGAACACAAGAACUGCUGAAAGAAAGCAUGAAUGAAAUGCUAUACUACUAUGUCUCCAAUAAGCAUGAUGUCAUGGUGAUGUACAUCUACGCUAACAUAAGGUAAUAUAUCCAAUGCAUACUAAUAUGCCUCAACAUAAUGAACAAGUAAACCUCACAAUACCAUAUGCCAAAAUAUAAGGAGUACGCUCUAUCAAGAUAACCCAGUAUACUAUGAUGCAAUGCAUGAAACCGGCAAGUGUACUAUAUACCCCAUUGCUAUGUCAUGAGCAUGUCACCUAAUCCAACUACUAAGCCUAUCUAGUAGCGAUUAUUCAUUCUCAACACCGUGUCGAUUUCCAUUUCCAAUCAAGGACCUACCAAAGGUAGUCCAGCUUGUGCCGCCUAAGUGCCUGUGGUAGCCCAACAUCCCUACUCUUGGAAUGUGUCUGUCCCACUCGACCCCGUAGGCUUCUCAAUACCGCACGAGCGAACAUAGGUCGCGUAGGCUAACUCCGGAGUGCCGGCUUGUAGGGAGCGACCCUCACAAGCAUGUGCGAAUGAGCACAAAUGGCAAGCAAGCAUAGUCCAAGUCUCAAGUAUCCAACCCUCAUGUCUCUAACAUGGUAUAGUCACUAGCAUCUCGAAGAUCUAGUUCUAAGUCACAAAUGAAGUUCCAACAUUCUCUAGGUCUAGUGCCCCUUUAUGACACUUAGACAUUUAAUGUUUAAGCAUGUUCC
rnacentral:lncRNA from 1 species